UGCAGUCAGAGCGGAGUUUUGAAAAGCUUGCUUUUCAAAACUUAGCGGCGGACGGGUGAGUAACACGUGGGCAACCUGCCCUUGAGACGGGGAUAACUCCGGGAAACCGGAGCUAAUACCGGAUAACACAUAUCUUCGCAUGAGGAUAUGUUAGAAGGUGGCUUUUAGCUACCACUCAAGGAUGGGCCCGCGGCGCAUUAGCUAGUUGGUGAGGUAACGGCUCACCAAGGCGACGAUGCGUAGCCGACCUGAGAGGGUGAUCGGCCACACUGGGACUGAGACACGGCCCAGACUCCUACGGGAGGCAGCAGUAGGGAAUCUUCCGCAAUGGACGAAAGUCUGACGGAGCAACGCCGCGUGAGUGAUGAAGGUUUUCGGAUCGUAAAGCUCUGUUGUUAGGGAAGAACAAGUAUCUGUUGAAUAAGCAGGUACCUUGACGGUACCUAACCAGAAAGCCACGGCUAACUACGUGCCAGCAGCCGCGGUAAUACGUAGGUGGCAAGCGUUGUCCGGAAUUAUUGGGCGUAAAGCGCGCGCAGGCGGUUCCUUAAGUCUGAUGUGAAAGCCCACGGCUCAACCGUGGAGGGUCAUUGGAAACUGGGGAACUUGAGUGCAGAAGAGGAGAGCGGAAUUCCACGUGUAGCGGUGAAAUGCGUAGAGAUGUGGAGG
rnacentral:rRNA from 1 species